rnacentral:rRNA from 1 species
AUGGGCGGCAGGUUCCAGGCGAUGGACGAAGACCCACCGAGUCCCACUUCCGGCUCCCAACCUCCUCUGCCCGAUUCAUAUAAGUUUCCUGCCAAAGGCAUCCUAAUUCUGUCAAUACCAAGCAACAACAUGUGGUGGGGGUCGCUGCGGCUGCUGCUGCUGCUCGCGGCGGCGGUGGCGGCGGCUGCUGAGCCAGCGUCGACGCUCACGGGGCCGUCGCGGCCGGUGACGGUGACGCUUCGGGAAGACAGGGGCCACGCGGUGGACCUGCCGGACACGGACCCCCGGGUGCAGCGCCGGGCCACGGGCUGGGCUCCCGAGCAGAUCGCCGUCGCGCUCUCCGCCGCUCCCACCUCUGCCUGGGUCUCCUGGAUCACCGGGGAAUUCCAGAUGGGCGGCACCGUCAAGCCGCUGGACCCCGGCACGGUCGCCAGCGUCGUGCGCUACGGGCUCGCCGCCGAUUCUUUGGUUCGCCAGGCCACCGGCGACGCGCUCGUGUACAGCCAGCUCUACCCCUUCGAGGGCCUCCAGAACUACACCUCCGGCAUCAUCCACCACGUCCGCCUCCAAGGGCUUGAGCCUGCGACGAAGUACUACUACCAGUGUGGCGACCCGGCCCUCCCGGGGGCGAUGAGCGCCGUCCACGCGUUCCGGACGAUGCCGGCGGUGGGGCCGCGGAGCUACCCGGGGAGGAUCGCCGUGGUGGGAGACCUCGGGCUCACGUACAACACCACGUCGACCGUGGACCACAUGGCGAGCAACCGGCCGGACCUGGUCCUCCUCCUCGGUGACGUCAGCUACGCCAACCUGUACCUCACCAACGGCACCGGAGCGGACUGCUACUCGUGCGCGUUCGGCAAGUCCACGCCCAUCCACGAGACGUACCAGCCGCGCUGGGACUACUGGGGAAGGUACAUGGAGGCGGUGACGUCGGGGACGCCGAUGGUGGUGGUGGAGGGGAACCAUGAGAUAGAGGAGCAGAUCGGCAACAAGACGUUCGCGGCCUACCGCUCCCGGUUCGCGUUCCCGUCGACGGAGAGCGGGUCCUUCUCCCCCUUCUACUACUCGUUCGACGCCGGGGGGAUCCAUUUCGUCAUGCUCGGCGCCUACGCCGACUACGGCAGGUCAGGGGAGCAGUACAGAUGGCUCGAGAAGGACCUGGCGAAGGUGGACAGGUCGGUGACGCCGUGGCUGGUCGCCGGCUGGCACGCGCCAUGGUACACCACCUAUAAGGCUCACUACAGGGAGGUGGAGUGCAUGAGAGUGGCCAUGGAGGAGCUGCUCUACUCCCACGGCCUCGACAUCGCCUUCACCGGCCAUGUGCACGCGUACGAGCGCUCCAACCGGGUGUUCAACUACACGCUGGACCCGUGCGGCGCCGUGCACAUCUCGGUGGGCGACGGCGGGAACCGCGAGAAGAUGGCCACCACCCACGCCGACGAGCCGGGGCACUGCCCGGAACCGCGGGCCAAGCCCAACGCCUUCAUCGGCGGCUUCUGCGCCUUUAACUUCACGUCCGGCCCGGCCGCCGGCAGGUUCUGCUGGGACCGGCAGCCGGACUACAGCGCCUACCGGGAGAGCAGCUUCGGCCACGGCAUCCUCGAGGUGAAGAACGAGACGCACGCUCUGUGGAGAUGGCACAGGAACCAGGACAUGUACGGGAGCGCCGGAGAUGAGAUUUACAUUGUCCGGGAGCCCCACAGGUGCUUGCACAAACACAACUCGACCAGGCCGACACACGGUCGAUAA